UCCAUUCCUUUCUUCAAGUUAACACUCCCCCUCAAGCUUGACUUUAGCUGAUCCUAAGUCAAGCUUGGAACCUUGAAGAACUUCCUCAUUAAAAACCUCACCAAGGAAAACCCUUUGGGACAAAACCUUGAUGAGGGAAAAAGAGUAAAGCCUCCAAGGCCUAGGGAUUGGCCAGUGAGUCUUUGUGCCUUACCAGCAAUGUAAGGGACACAAAGACUCUGGAUCAUGGCCUCUUCUUGUGAUGCAAUGUUGAUCAUCACUUCAUUGCACACCACCAACACUUCUUGGAACUCUUCUUUGGACCGGCCUGAGUCUUCCCUUCUCUCGUGGCUUCUUGCCAUCUCCAUCAGGUAAGACACGCCUAGCUCCUGCUCAUUGAGUAUCCAAGUACCUGAUACAACAUUCCACAAGUGUAUCAGUCCUCAAGAGAUAAACCUAUCAUGUAUAUAUUUAA
rnacentral:lncRNA from 1 species